rnacentral:rRNA from 1 species
UACAGAGGGUGCGAGCGUUAAUCGGAAUUACUGGGCGUAAAGCGUGCGUAGACGGUAGCGUAAGUCAGAUGUGAAAGCCCCGGGCUCAACCUGGGAACUGCAUUUGAGACUGCUCUGCUCGGGUGCGGAAGAGGGAAGCGGAAUUUCCGGUGUAGCGGUGAAAUGCGUAGAUAUCGUAAGGAAGACCAGUGGCGAAGGCGGGUCUCUGGACAGUUCCUGACGCUGAGGCACGAAGGUCAGGGGAGCAAACGGG